GUGAACGCUGGCGGCGUGGCUAAGACAUGCAAGUCGAGCGAUAGAUCCUUUCGGGGAUCGAAAAGCGGCAAACGGGUGCGUAACACGUGAGCAACCUGCCCUUAAGUUGGGGAUAGCCAGCCGAAAGGCUGAUUAAUACCGAAUGUGGUCCCUCUUCGCCCUGGAGAGGGCACUAAAGCUUGAAAUGGCGCUUAAGGAGGGGCUCGCGGCCUAUCAGCUUGUUGGUGAGGUAAUGGCUCACCAAGGCUAAGACGGGUAGCUGGUCUGAGAGGAUGAUCAGCCACACUGGAACUGAGAUACGGUCCAGACACCUACGGGUGGCAGCAGUUUCGAAUCAUCCACAAUGGGCGAAAGCCUGAUGGUGCGACGCCGCGUGAGGGAUGAAGGCCUUCGGGUUGUAAACCUCUGUCGUUAAGGAGCAAAGGCUAGGUUCAUAGCCUAGUUUGAGUUAACUUAAAAAGGAAGCAGUGGCUAACUCCGU
rnacentral:rRNA from 1 species